rnacentral:rRNA from 1 species
AGCGAACGCUGGCGGCAGGCCUAAAACAUGCAAGUCGAACGGAUCCUUCGGGAUUAGUGGCGGACGGGUGAGUAACACGUGGAACGUGCCUUUUGGUUCGGAACAACUCAGGGAAACUUGAGCUAAUACCGAAUGUGCCCUUCGGGGAAAGAUUUAUCGCCAUUAGAGCGGCCCGCGUCUGAUUAGCUUGUUGGUGAGGUAAAGGCUCACCAAGGCGACGAUCAGUAGCUGGUCUGAGAGGAUGAUCAGCCACACUGGGACUGAGACACGGCCCAGACUCCUACGGGAGGCAGCAGUUAGGAAUCUUGCGCAAUGGGGGAAACCCUGACGCAGCCAUGCCGCGUGAAUGAUGAAGGUCUUAGGAUUGUAAAAUUCUUUCAGCGGGGACGAUAAUGACGGUACCCGCAGAAGAAGCCCCGGCUAACUUCGUGCCAGCAGCCGCGGUAAU